AUGUGUGUACCAAAAAACCAAGGUGGAAUGGGAUUCCGUGAUAUCCAUUGCUUCAACCUGGCUUUGCUCGCCAAACAAGCAUGGCGUCUUAUUGAUAAUCCUGAUUCCUUGUGUGCCACUAUUCUGAGGGCCAAGUACUACCCUGAUGGCGAUUUGCUGAAGUCUAAGCCAAAGCGUGGUGCUUCUUUCACCUGGCAGAGCAUUAUGGCAGGUAUA
rnacentral:rRNA from 1 species